rnacentral:rRNA from 1 species
GACGAACGCUGGCGGCGUGCCUAAUACAUGCAAGUAGGACGCAGUUGCGAACGGGUGAGUAACGCGUCGGUAACUGCCUAUUAGAGGGGGAUAACUAUUGGAAACGAUAGCUAAUACCGCAUACUAGUAGAUGGAACUGCGUUGUAUUAGCUAGUAGGGAGGGUAAUGGCCUACCUAGGCGACGAUACAUAGCCGACCUGAGAUGGUGAACGGCCACACUGGGACUGAGACACGGCCCAGACUCCUACGGGAGGCAGCAGUAGGGAAUCUUCGGCAAUGGGGCGAACUCUGACCGAGCAACGGCGCGUGAGUGAAGAAGGGUUUCGGAUCGGAAAGCUCUGUUGUUAAGGAAGCGGUACUUAACCAGAAAGGCACGGCUAACUACGUGCCAGCAGCCGCGGUAAUUC